rnacentral:rRNA from 1 species
UACGGAGGGUGCAAGCGUUAUCCGGAUUCACUGGGUUUAAAGGGUGCGCAGGCGGCCAAGUGUGUGAGGCGUGAAAGCCUGGAGCUUAACUCCAGAAUUGCACCUCAAACUACUUGGCUAGAGCAUUGGAGAGGGUAGCGGAAUUCACGGUGUAGCAGUGAAAUGCGUAGAUAUCGGGAGGAACACCAGUGGCGAAGGCGACUCACUGGACAUGUAUUGACGCUGAGGUGCGAAAGCGUGGGGAGCAAACAGG